UCUGAGUAGACUGCAUCACCGUCGGUGGAGGUGUAAGGACAAUUUGGACUGCUUGAAUAGUGUCCGUCAAACUCUGGACCUACUGGAAGAGCGGUUGAAUUGGUCUGCCGUGAUCAGUGCUGGCUAGGUUGGUAGAUGAGUCUCCAUCGUUAGUGGUUGUCGGCUUGGCUCCUCGCCUGACAAGAGACAGUGGUGUUAGAGAGACGAGAUGAAACGCACUUUGAUGGCA
rnacentral:lncRNA from 1 species